UAUCUCUGUAGAGUCUGCAUAUCAAUAAGCGGAGGAAAAGGAGGAGGCUCGCCGUUUCAUCAGGCAAUAUCUCGAUUCCGAUCCGUCCGCGUACCCGAUCACCAGCCUGACAAUUCGGUGACAUGUCCGCUGCAAUCGCCAAACAGUGUCAAGGAGCGACCCAAUGAAAAGAACGAUUUCCAAUGUGCUUGCGAUUUCCGCCGCAGCAUUCGCCUCUGGUCCGCUGACCGCCGCAACCUGGCUGUACUGGAACGGGGGUGAUGGAAAAUGGAGUGAAUCAUCAAGCUGGAGAGGUGGAGCGUCCGCGCCGCUGGAGGGCGACAAUGCCGUCGUGUUUGAGGACGGCGCGAGUUCGGUGGUCGACAUCGACACCGCCGUGAAAAUCAACAAUUGGGUUUUCAGGGCCUCCGGCGGAAGCUAUCCGGAUGCGGUGUUUUCGUGGACAGGCGUCGGCUCGCUCACGAGCACCUCCCAGUCGGCCUGUUCAUUGGGUGAGGGGCGCAGACUCACAAUGGACGGACCUCGCGUCCAUGUGGAAAGGCAGUUGCUCGUCGAUACCAAUGCGGUUCUCGUCGUGCGUUCCGGACAUUUGACCUCGUCCACGUCCUCGGAUGCGGCAAGCCCCAUUGAAGUGCGAAAAGGCGGCGUGUUCAGUGUUUCGGGCGGUUCGGUCGAUACCUACGCUAGGAUGUUGACUGAUAUGUAGUCGUA
rnacentral:rRNA from 1 species